CCUACGGGAGGCAGCAGUGGGGAAUAUUGGACAAUGGGCGAAAGCCUGAUCUAGCCAUGCCGCGUGCAGGAUGACGGCCCUAUGGGUUGUAAACUGCUUUUAUACAGGAAGAAAAAACUCUACGUGUAGAGUCUUGACGGUACUGUAAGAAUAAGGAUCGGCUAACUCCGUGCCAGCAGCCGCGGUAAU
rnacentral:rRNA from 1 species